rnacentral:lncRNA from 1 species
UGAUAUUAAAUAAUAAAUAUAUGUGUGUCACUACUCACAGUAAAAUAUGCUCUAAAGUACGUGGUGGUAUGGACGAGACUCCAAAACUCUACAUCUUUCAAGUUCUUCUGCGAUCUUCUCCUCAAAAGAAACAAAACAAAGAAAAGAAAAUAAACAAAAAGAACCAAAAUAAAAAGGCGAAAGAAGAACAAAAAUAAGAAAACAACUAGGUUAUACCUUCCCAACAAGCGCUUAAUUUAACGGACGUAGCAGUCUGGCUAAUACGAAGAGAGGUAGGAAACUCAUGCGCAUCAUUCUCUCUAAAAGUGAUGUCUCCAUUCGUCACAUCUAUCAGAGCUUGCCCCGUAACUAGAAACAAUCAACCAAGGAUCAACGGAGG